GAUGAAGAACGUAGCGAAAUGCGAUAAUUAAUGUGAAUUGCAGAAUCCAGUGAAUCAUCGAAUCUUUGAACGCACAUUGCGCCCGCCAGUAUUCUGGCGGGCAUGCCUGUCAGCGUCAUUUCGACCAUCAAGCCUUGGGCUUGUGAUGGAGCACUGCGGGCUGCCCGCAGGCUCUAAAAUACAGUGGCGGCCCUGUAGGCUCCCCGGGCGUAGUAGAUAUAGCUCGUCUAGGGAGGGCCUCGGGCGCCUGCCAUAAAGCUUUUUUUAAGGUUGACCUCGGAUCAGGUAGGAAUACCCGCUGAACUUAAGCAUAUCAAUAAGCGGAGGA
rnacentral:misc_RNA from 1 species